AUCCGGCGUCCGGCGAUGUCCACCGCGUCCCACGUUACACAGCGAAAGAACAGGCAGCAGACGAAUUUGUCUGACCUACCAGACGAAGUUCUAGACACUAUAUUUGACCACCUGGAUGUGCCCGACCUGAAGGAUGUAUCCCUGGUGUGCCGGCGGUGAUGUAACCUAGCUUUUACUCGACACCGAAUAAGUCGAGUGGUGUUCGUCCCCAAAUUACAGGGCGAUAAGGAUGUACUGCAGAGUAAGAGGAAGUAUAGACACGCGUACCUCUUCAAUCCGUCCCAGAAUCUUCCAUAUGAUAGCGACGGUGAACUUCUUCAGCUGCCUAAAAUUUUCCCUGGGCUCGAGAAAUUAGAUUUAUAUCCCUUAGUCGUUGUGCGUAACUCUACUGUCGAAAGGAUUCACAAAAUGAUUCCAAAAUGCAGAAUCAACGUACAUAAAGGCAGUGCAAGUCUUCACCUAUUCAAUAAUGCGAUAAAUGAUGAAUUAAUCUUUGUUACACGGAAAUUGUAGCACCAAAAACGCAAAAUACACUCGCCGCCCCGAAAGCGCUGAAUCCGAGCAUCGUUUGCACUCCUGUGGUCAAAUAUACAACAGCAUUAAGUCACA